UCUAUUCAGCGCUGCGCACAUCGGCUUUACACGCACCAGUGACGGUGACAAUCGUAAAAACAAUCGCCACGGAUUUGUGGUCGGAUAUCCAACGUGUACAGUGUACACGGGGAUUUGCUCGUGCUGGUCCGUUCGGCACCGGACCCGAUUCUACACGGUAAAAAACUAUACGUACAGUAGAUGUCCAGUGGUGUGCAAUGUGUGUCGAAAUGCAGGCGUUAGCACUGUUUGUUUUUUGAGCCGCUCGCAGACCGUAGUAAGCAGGUGCUGCACAUGUGCCGUGCAGGCCCGUGCUGAAUCUGCUGACUAACUGCCACUCACUGGGUAAAAUCAGGAAAUAAUCUUAAUGCGUAGUCUGUACUUUUUAUUGAUCCACAUUUUCUUUAUCCUUCAUUCCCUCAUUAUAAAAUAUUCAAAUUAUUAGUAUCACUGACGAUAUGGUCUUGUUACACAUUCUUUGUGUUAAUUAAUACUGUAUUCUAUCGAAAUCUAUGUUUCGGCAAAAUCGAACAUCUGUCCAAAGCCAAACCAGAGCAAGUGUAUUAUGUUGGUAGCGUGGCAGUGCUUGGUUCAAAGUCAGUGCACCCGCCAUGGUUUUUGCAGCUGAAAAUUCAGUCGUGUUUGGCUGUUUGCUUCGCUGCAGAGUGAAUCCAUAUUUUUGUCUUUCAACUCGUGGUUCUUCAGCUCCUUUUUGUUAUUGUCAUCCCGUUUUGAGAAAUUAUAUUUUUUUGUUUUCGCUUUUCUGGAAAAAUUCAACUGCGAUAUCGCAAACAUGGCGAUCGACUGCUUCGGAACAUCACGACAAUCUGAAUAAGCCAGUCUGUCGCUCAUGUCCUCCUGUGCGAAUCGACGAAGGCAUUAGCUCGUUAAACUGUUCGGAGAACUUUAGUUAGUCCGCUAUCUGCGCUACGACCAUCUCUUCUUGCCAGGGCACCCCGUUUCAACGCGCAGUUUGACGAUAAUCGUCUGUAUUUGGCCAGCCUCGAAGAUGAAAAAGACGAAGAAGUUUUCCUAGCAAAGCCUGCCAUGCAGAAGGCCGUAUCCGGAUGAAAACGUAAAGCAGAUGCCAAGAAAAACGAUAAGAAAGUCGUAUUUUGAGACAAAUAGCCGCACUCUCUAGUGCCCUGCGAAGUCCGCAACACGUGAAUCCGAUUCUUGACGAUAUCGUCGCUACCACAGAUGAUGCAGAGUUACUCAAAACAAAUAACGAUAUCGUUGAUUGAAGAGCAGAAGAAACUGCGGGGUCGGCAGUAAUCAGCAACAUCAACCAACAGGAAUGAUGCAAAUUGUGCAACUGGAUUGCAUCGGAGCGAUAAAGAUGCAUUUGGAUGGGCUCAGAUACAAGGUGGCAAGCGGUGAUCGACUGUAUCGUACGAUGAAUGCGUGGAAGAAAGCCUUCGAAGGUGCCAGAUUACCAAUAUAAGGAUUAGAUUUUCGACAAUAUUGUCAGACGUUUCUUGUUUGGUUGAUAA